CAGUAGCCGCGGUAAUACGGAGGGGGCUAGCGUUGUUCGGAAUUACUGGGCGUAAAGCGUACGUAGGCGGCUUUGUAAGUUAGAGGUGAAAGCCUGGAGCUCAACUCCAGAAUUGCCUUUAAGACUGCAUCGCUUGAACGUCGGAGAGGUGAGUGGAAUUCCGAGUGUAGAGGUGAAAUUCGUAGAUAUUCGGAAGAACACCAGUGGCGAAGGCGGCUCACUGGACGACUGUUGACGCUGAGGUACGAAAGCGUGGGGAGCAAACAGGAUUAGAUACCCGGGUAGUCCCUGUCUCUUAUAC
rnacentral:rRNA from 1 species